rnacentral:rRNA from 1 species
UACAGAGGGGGCAAGCGUUGUUCGGAAUUACUGGGCGUAAAGGGCGCGUAGGCGGCCUUCUAAGUCGAACGUGAAAUCCCCGGGCUCAACCCGGGAACUGCGUCCGAUACUGGAAGGCUUGAAUCCGGGAGAGGGAUGCGGAAUUCCAGGUGUAGCGGUGAAAUGCGUAGAUAUCUGGAGGAACACCGGUGGCGAAGGCGGGUCUCUGGGCCAUUACUGACGCUGAGGAGCGAAAGCGUGGGGAGCGAACAG